GAUAACCUGUUAGGUUUCUCUCCCAUCCGGUGGAAGCGGGUUUCUUUCACGUUUUGGGUCCAUGCUGCGUUUGUGCGCUGUAACGCUUACCACCAGGGUCUGCAGUUUCAGUCCUGAAGUUAGUGAGACUACGAAACCACCAGGAGGAACGAGCAAGUCCAGACGCGCUACUUUAAGAACUGUAACACUUCCGGAGUAAGUCUGUAGCUUCGUUCCUGAACGAGCGAGACCACCGAACCCACCGGACGGAAAAAACUCUGUGAACACAUCCGAAUAGGGGAAGGAGCAAACUCCAGACACGCGGUUUUAAGAACUACUCUGGAUCCUGGAAACCUGCCCUGGAGAGAAGCAGUUUGACAGCCCAGAAGCAAAGAGACCAGAAGAGUCCACGGCACCCAGAGACCCCUACGCUGACAGCUGGGCCUGGAGGAGCUGAGGACAGGAGAAAGAGACAGAGCUCAGAAAGGAAGUGCUCCCUGGAGAAUGGGAGAGUGUCCUGUGAACACAGAGCUGGUCGGCCCGGGACCCAGAGCCACGUGGAGCCACGCAGGCCUCAUGCUGCCUGCGUACCACCCCCUCCACCAUGUUUUCCACAAAGGGGAAUCUCAUCCCCAGCCGGGACCUGCCCUGGAGUCAGCAUGUGCCACCCCUCCCGGUGAGUCACCUGCCAGUGCCCACUCCUCCUCCUUCUCCUUCCUGCUCUAUCCCAAAACCACAGAGCACCUUGGGCUUUCACAGAGCAGCAGGAGAGAGGGGUCAGGCUGUCCUCAGCCUAAGGUACAGCAAGGGCAUCCAACCCUGCAGAAGCAGGGCCACAGGGAGGCUCCCAAGAGAUGACCCAAGAUGUGCUCUCAGAAAGCUACAACAAAUCCAGACUGCACCUGGGCUCGGGGCCAAAAUGCCCUGGGCCUGGGGAUGCCCAAGAGGGUCUCCUUGCCCCCCACCAUAAUCACCCACAUCACUCCACUUCCUCCUAACCCCCUACUUCCUCCCAAUCCCCGCAGGGGCUCCUUGGGCAACACUUCCCACAAAGGGACAAAAAGGGUCAGAAAGACACAAAGUUCUGAAAAUGUCAGACAAGUCCCUGGAUCCAGCUAUGCCUGAAGCAAGCUGCAGACCUAGACCGCCCAGAUAUUUGAGCCAAUCAUUUUUUUCCCUUAAACCAGUUUGAACUAAGUUUCUAUUGUCUGCAACCGAAGGAGUCCUUGAAUCCACAUUCAUUCAUGUCUUUAGUAAUUCAUUUCACUACUUACGGAGUUCCUGUUAGGGACGUACUAGGGGCAGAGAGAUGACUAAGCUACACGUCUGUCCUCAAGGAGCAGAUUCUAAUAGGGAAGGGGGACAUGCAGGUAGAUCACUGCAGUUUGGUAUAGUAUACUAUUUAUGAUAUGGUCAGGGCGAAUUGGAGGCACCUCAGAGGCAUGAUAACCCCAAAGAUGAUCCCUGAAAAGUCAUGAGCAGCUCCCCAGGUAGCCGUGCUGGGAAAGGUAGCCCUUUCCUGAACUCCAGAGACCGGUCCUCCUGACACUGCCUGUCUGCCUUUCAGCCAGAUCUCCCUGGAAUUCUAGAAAAUGAGCCCAAAGUGUGGGGUUCUGGUCCCAGCUCUGACACUUGGUUAUGCAAUCUUAACUAGGCAACUUCUCUGAGCUCAGUGUUCCUACCUAUAAAAGAAAAGCUUUGUGGAUGCUAGUGGAACUUUAUCAGUACUUGAAGCUUUCAGGGACUGUAUCCUUAAGGUUUAACCAAUUCACAGCCACACAGUUCACACUGAAAUGCACAAAGUGACUGUGGCAGAAACUGCUAGUUGUUGUCCACUUACACCCAUUUUCUCCCUUUUUAAAAAAGAGACAGGGUCCCGCUCUGUCACCCAGGCUGGAGUGGUACCAUCAUAGUUCAGUGGUGCAAUCAGAACCCACUGCACCCUUGUAACUCCUGGGCUCAAGUGAUCCUCCUGCCUCAGCCUCCCGAGUAACAGGGACUACAGGUGCUGCCAGCACACCCAGCUCUCCCCUUCUUCCAUAGCAUUUUUAGUUAGGCACAUGGCCACUCAGCUAACGACUGCAGAUCCCAGCCUUACUUGCAGCUGAGUGUGGCCAUGCAAUGUGUACACUGAUGUGUACAGCUUCUGGGUCAUGCCCUGAAAGAGAGAAGCAUGCCCUCCCCUCCCUUUCCCCUCCCCCUUCCCACUGGCUGGAACAUAGAUGCGGUGUGUGUGGCGAUCAUACUGCCAAAGGCAACACCCUGAGGACGGCAGAGCAGCAGACAGAAGAACCCUGAGGGACUGUAGUAUCAGCCCUGGAUAUACCCAGAUGGUCACAUGGGUGAGAAAUAAACAUCUCUUCCAGCAUAAGUCAUUGCUAUUUUGGGCCUUUCUUACAGCAUCUGAACUAACUAAGGAGCCAUCCCACCCUUACUUUCCCUCCUUCUCUUCCCCGUCUCCCUACCCGAUGAGCAUUGCCACUGCUCAGAGCCACAAAAGGAAACCACAUCUAAAAUAGGUAUCUCAAAAUACGAACAGGAGACUAUCUCAUCAGAGUCACCGAGUGAUGCCUGAGCCCAGCUUUGGACAAAUGUCAAGGGUAGAAGUAAGCAGGCUUGGGGACUGUUUGUAUUGAGGGAGGGGCUGAAGGUGUCAAGAGGGCACUGAAGGCUUGAGCAAUGGGCAAACAUGGACACACAUAACAAGGAGACCUGGAGAUGAAGCACGUGGAGGGGGAAGAUCAGUUCCUACUGAGCUCGACUAUGGAUCAUCCACACCAAAAUGUCCUAUGGACUCCCAGACACACUGAGCUGCAGCUCAGAACAGAGGGACAGGGCAGUCAUUCGUGCAGUGGUGGUGACAGAACCAAAGGUGGGGUCACUGAGGGAGAUGAUGCCAUGAGAACAAAUUCUGGGGAAACUGCAGAAAUUAAUGAUCAAGUAUCAGAACAGGGAACCUUUCUCUGCCCCUCCCCCCACCCACCGCAUACACACAAUCUCUGUUUGCCCUCCCCUGUGAUGGGCACCCAUGGCCUGCAUGGGCUAUCCACUUGCUUUUGGACAGCGUUCAUCAGUGAGAAGCUCUACCUUAUACUUAGCCCAAAUUUGUCUCCCAAUACAGCCCACAACAGUCCUCAUGUGACCCCUUGGACCACGCAGAAUGAGUCUGCCCCCUUCCUUAUCAAAGCCCUGCAAGUAUUUGAUCUUCCUUGACGAAGUCACCAUUGAGCAGCCAUGUCAGACCAUUCACCAAAAUAACCCAAAAUAACAGACUAUCAAAUCUGUAGCCAACCAUCAGAAGUCACUCACACUCAUUGCUGCUAAUCCACACCUCUGCCAUCCUCUUCUGAUGGAGUUCAGAAUGGGGAGGAGUUUUACAGGAUAUUUCAUUUGUUACUAUUCCAUUUCACCCAGUUAAACUGAGUCCAUUCCUCCAACUGCCACAACAUUUUUUUCAUUGUUGUAAAAUAUAUGUAACAUGAAGUUGGCCAUUUUAUCCAGGUUUAAGUGUAUAAGUCGGCAGCAUUAACUACAUUUACAAUGCUGUGUAACCCUGUCGUGAUCUUUUGAAGUACUCUUUUGACUGUUCCUGGUGCAUAGACAAUGCUCAAUAAUUUGUUGGUGGAUUAAAAAAAGAAUGAAUGAAUAUCAUCUGAAAAGGUUACUCUCCUCUCUCUGCUGGUGUCUGGGUGUCAUCAAGGUCCUCAGGGAGAGGACAGGAAUAGGAAAGCCCACAGCACCAUCUGUCCCUGGAUGAUCAAUGUCCAUCCACCAUUCAGUACACCGGGGUUAGGAGUGUUCCUACCUGUGCUGCUACCCAGCUCCCAUCUACCCAUCUCAUCCCCAGGGCUGUCAUGAGAAGCUUCACUGCUUCUGGCUGGGGACCAAUCAACUGGAGAAGAACAAGAAAAGAAGUGCAUUUUCAAAACCCCAGUGAAGCCAUGCAAGUGCCUACUAGUGGGCUCUUCUUCAAGUGCUCAUUGGUUCCAGGACUUUGUCAGGGAUUAAGAACAAGAUUAUUGAUCUGUUGUUCCCAUAAUCUACCAUCUUCCCCAUAAAACUGGUUAUUUCCCUGUC